rnacentral:rRNA from 1 species
GUUAGGAAUAUUGGACAAUGGGCGAAAGCCUGAUCCAGUCAUGCCGCGUGAACGAUGAAGGCCUUCGGGUUGUAAAGUUCUUUAGCCGAUGAUUAUAAUGACUGUAGUCGGAAAAUAAGCCCCGGCUAACUUCGUGCCAGCAGCCGCGGUAAUACGAAGGGGGCGAGCGUUAUUCGGAAUCACUGGGCGUAAAGCGUGCGUAGGCGGUGUUGUAAGUUAGGAGUGAAAGCCCAGGGCUCAACCUUGGAAUUGCUCUUAAAACUGCAAGGCUCGAAUCUCGGAGAGGAUAGCGGAAUUUCCAGUGUAGCAGUGAAAUGCGUAGAUAUUGGAAGGAACACCAGUGGCGUAAGCGGCUAUCUGGACGAGUAUUGACGCUGAGGCACGAAAGCGUGGGGAGCAAACAGGAUUAGAUACCCCUGUAGUCC